UUGCAGAGGUUUCAUGUUUGUGAUUUGCCUCUCCACAGACGGUGCACGUGGACAGUGGGUCGUCCUCACACUGAUGUACGUCACCUGACUAGAACCCUAACCCUUAAACUUUGACCUUUGACCCUUCAUGCUGUUCCAAAUCUGGCUUUAGCUCAGGGGUUUCCAAACGCUUCCCUCUGGACCCCCAGAAACUGCAGCUCCAUUCAGAAUGAUUUUGCCCCAUGUGGACCCUUAUAGCAAAAGAUAUUUUGGCUUGUGUCUUGCGAAGUUUCUUGUCUUUUUUUCUAAUUUUCUGGUACUUUUCUUAUUGUUUUUAAAAAAUAUAUUUUAUUUUUUAUGCUUUGGCUGAUUUGCUAAUAUUGACAUGUGCUAACCGUCACAGCUGCUGCAUGCUGUGUUUCAGGCUCUGCAGUUUCCUGUCUGUCGCUGUGCUACUGCUCCUCGGCCUCCUUCUGCUCACCUGCCGAAAGCCCGCCCCCACAAAGGUGUGGGCGAGCUGUGACAGAAAGCAGCUGCAGCUCUGGAGCUUUUCACCUGAAUGGUUCAGGUCUUCUCAGCUGAAUUCAUCCUGAACACAAACCCCCCUCCGGCUCACCUGGAGGCCAGGUGCAGCAGAUCCUGUCCCGAGGCUCACCUGAAGCUCAAACAGUCAGAGUGUGGCAGCAGGUCGGCCAGCAGCCCUGAGUGUGGGCUAGGCCAGGUGUAGUCCAGGUGUAGUCCAGGUGUAGACCAGAUGUAGUCCAGGUGUAGUAAAGGUGUAGACCAGAUGUAGUCCAGGUGUAGACAGGUGUAGACCAGGUGUAGAUCAGUGGUAGACCAGG